AUUGAACGCUGGCGGCAGGCCUAACACAUGCAAGUCGAGCGAGCGGCGGACGGGUGAGUAAUGUAUGGGGAUCUGCCCGAUAGAGGGGGAUAACUACUGGAAACGGUAGCUAAUACCGCAUACCAUCAGCUGAACCCAUAUGGGAUUAGCUUGUAGGUGAGGUAACGGCUCACCUAGGGGACGAUCCCUAGCUGGUCUGAGAGGAUGAUCAGCCACACGGGGACGGAGACACGGCCCAGACUCCUACGGGAGGCAGCAGUGGGGAAUAUUGCACAAUGGGCGCAAGCCUGAUGCAGCCAUGCCGCGUGAAUGAAGAAGGCCUUCGGGUUGUAAAGUUCUUUCGGUAGCGAGGCGUUAACGACAGAAGAAGCACCGGCUAACUCCGUGCCAGCAGCCGCGGUAAUUC
rnacentral:rRNA from 1 species